rnacentral:lncRNA from 1 species
CUUUUUCAUUGUUUCUUGCUCCCAAAAGUUGAAAUUCUCCUCUAGAAUUUUAUCAUGUCCAUCCACAACCAUUGAAGAGUGCGUCAUGUGUCCAUGAUCCAUCUAUCAUACAUCUCUCUGAGAUUGUUCAAAAGAUUGUUCAAAAGAUUGUCGCACCGAUGGUAUUUCUUCUUGUCUAUCGUUAGCAUUAAACCAAGCAAGACAUUCCAAUUCCGCGUGUCUUACAGUUUCCAAUGAGUCUCUCUGUCUAUCCAUCUGAGUAGUUUCAUCAUUUUUUGCUUUCUAUAUAUACCACAUAAUCCAAAGGUGAGUGUCUUUAUCCAACUCAGGGUCUUCUAUAUCAUUCUUUCGCCAUAAUAGAUAAUCCAUAUUUGUGUGUUGACUUGCGCUGGGGAAUCGUAAUGGUGGAGACGUGAUUGCUGCUAGAGAGCAUGUUUGUAAAGCCGGCGGGUAUUCAAAGAUGACAUUCAAAGAUGUUUAAUAGUUUCGGAUAAUGAUUAUCGCAUCAAAUAUGACGAUGAGUUAAGUUACUUGUCACAUCCAACUGUCCUGAUAUUGUUUGCCAUAUAAGAUGGUGUAUUUUCUGUGGAUCUUUUAUCUUCCAAGCAAAGGUUUGAAGUUUUGUAAUACGAGAUUCUGAAUAUUGCUGGUGUUUUGCAAUACCUUGUAACCCAAUUUUAUAGUAUGCAUACCACUCUUCGUAUAACUCCA